GUGGAUUAGAUACCCUAGUAGUCCACGCUGUAAACGAUGAAUACUAGGUGUAGGGGGUAUAAACUCCCUCUGUGCCGCAGCAAACGCAAUAAGUAUUCCGCCUGGGGAGUACGGCCGCAAGGUUGAAACUCAAAGGAAUUGACGGGGGCCCGCACAAGCAGCGGAGCAUGUGGUUUAAUUCGACGCAACGCGAAGAACCUUACCAAGGCUUGACAUCCACUUAAAGUUAUGGAAACAUAAUGUCCCUUCGGGGGAAGUGAGACAGGUGGUGCACGGUUGUCGACAGCU
rnacentral:rRNA from 1 species